rnacentral:rRNA from 1 species
AGAACGAACGCUGGCGGCAGGCCUAACACAUGCAAGUCGAACGCCGUAGCAAUACGGAGUGGCAGACGGGUGAGUAACGCGUGGGAACAUACCCUUCGGUUCGGAAUAACUCAGGGAAACUUGAGCUAAUACCGGAUACGUCCGAGGUUUUAAUCGACCUUGGAGAAAGAUUUAUCGCCGGAGGAUUGGCCCGCGUCUGAUUAGCUUGUUGGUGAGGUAAUGGCUCACCAAGGCGACGAUCAGUAGCUGGUCUGAGAGGAUGAUCAGCCACAUUGGGACUGAGACACGGCCCAAACUCCUACGGGAGGCAGCAGUGGGGAAUAUUGGACAAUGGGCGAAAGCCUGAUCCAGCCAUGCCGCGUGAGUGAUGAAGGCCUUAGGGUUGUAAAGCUCUUUUACCGGGAAGAUAAUGACGGUACCGGGAGAAUAAGCCCCGGCUAACUUCGUGCCAGCAGCCGC